ensembl:lncRNA
GAAAACAUACUGUAUAAUACAUGUUAAUAACCUGUUGGUUUGGUGUCUCUUGCUGAUGAGGUGGAGUAGCAGGCACAUUGGAUCCUGGUUGCUUCUCUAACAUGUCCUGGCAAAAUAUAAAUGGAAGCAUAACUAUUUUCAUUUUCAUUUAUUUUAUAGUUUUGACAUAUAAAACAAUACUAGUGCUCCAAAAGAUAAGUGGUAACUACUACAAGUCAUCUGGUAGUUUUUACAUUCAGAGAAUACACACUAGCUUCAUAUAAAACUGAUGUGAUUUCAGGGGAAAGGAUGAAUGUAGUGCCUAUAUUCAGUAAAUUUACAAAAUGUGUAGCUCCUUGCCCAAACCUAGAAAACAAAUGAACUCUAUUAACAAAUCAGAAACAAGAAUACUGAAAAGCACUAAUCCUUGGGUGGAUGUAAGACAGGGCAUCUGUUUCUAUCAAGACAAUGAGUUCACACAUUAAGCCAAAACUGCAUAAUAAUGCUUAAUAAAAAACAAAAUUGUUGUAUUGGCGGAAUAAAACAUCAGAUUUAAGUCACAUUAAGCAAGUUAAGCUACAUUUGCAUUAUAUGUGCAGUGAAGAUCGAACAGAUGGAUAAUGUCCAUGAAAAUGGUGACUACAGCUUCACAUACUGAAGAACUGUAUUAAUUAAGGGAAGGUAUAUGUCACAGCCAUCAAGUGCCAAUGUAGGCCAUAAAUCAGCCACCUGUUAGAAACUUUGUUAGCCUCAUGUGGAACUACUAAUUUGCUUGAAUUACAAUGUAAAUUAACAUUAACAUGAAUGAAUAAUGCAAUCAUACAUUGAAAUAGUUAUAUGUAGUUAUAAUUCUGUGACCAAAUGAGACCUUGCUGGUGUUCACUUUCAAUACAUGUUUAUUAUCGGUAGCCUAUAAUACUAUUAUUUUAAAGGUGUAGAGAAAUGGCCGUUAGUCCUGUUUGUCACGCUGAGUUGUCACGAGCUGCAACACGAGUUUACCCGAGUAAGGAAUACGAAUUUGAUUGGUCGUUAUCUUGUGUGCGUGUCUCAGACGUUUUAAUGAUGGAUGACGGAUCCAAUAUCAGUGGCUUUUGAAUCGUGUACAGGCUGACGUAUAAUCCGUGCGCCUGCAUUAUACAAUGAGAAAUAAAAUACCACACUUUCAUCCCGGAUUUACUCAAAAAUAUAAUUUUGCAAAGUUUGGCCUACAUCGUCUGAAAGAUGAGUUAUUUAUAUAAUUUCAUGACCCAGAGUGGGCUCAAAUUCAAUUUUCUUUUCUGUACACCUUUAAGACGUCGGUUUAAAAAUAAAAACUACACUAUUCACAUUUUCUGUAUUGAUUAAAGGGGUUGUUUUUAGCAUAAAAAUGAAACUAGUAACUUGUAUCUAUAGUACCUGUGCUUCUGGUCCGAUUUGCAUAUCUUGUUGAUCCCCACAAAAUUGAAAAGUGCGGUGUGAGUAGGUGGAGGGUGGCAAUUCUAGCACUGGGUGGGUCUUUCUGGAGACUCCCUCUCCGGCAGGCUGCAUAUAAUGAAGAUAUAAUACAUGGAAAUUCUCAAGUGAAGUAUUAAUGACAAUAAUACAUGUUUGUGUCUCAUUUUAAGGAAAUACACUGUAGGGUCUACUACAAUCAUUAUUUUCAUCACGUUUAAUUUAAUUUAAAUGACAAUUAUACAGAAACUAUACAUAUAGUAUAACAUAGCAAUUAAUAUCAACAAUUUCAAUUGCUGGUAUUUUAAUACCUCUGAUGAAUCUCUGUUGGGUCUGUCCUGAAGCAGGUGCUCUCUUAUUGGACUGACAAGAUGCUUUCCUCUCAAACAUUCUAAAGAUGACUGAUCGCUUGGUCCUUCUGCAACAAGGCCCUCAUCGGGAACAUUCUGAUCAUGAGACAGCACACAGAUUUAUUUAAAGGUUGACAAUGUAGGAUUACCAGAACAACCACAGAAUGCCAGACCUUUGCUAGGCAAAACGGGUCGUUGCUAGGGACUCCGUUCUGAUCAGAGGACAGCAGAGGAGGAGAACUAUGCAGGAUAUUUCAUUUUUACCUUCAUUAACAGCAUAAUAAAUUACUUUUAGCUUGUUAGAGGAGGAGUGGAGGCUCUUUGCCAACAAUCUCAACCUUUAACUAUCAUACUUUAAAUAUUUACGGUAUGAUAAACAUUACAAAUACAAUUAUGGAUGAAUAAAUGCUUUAGAGGAAAGUAAUAUGUAUUUUGUGAACCCCUUAAUUUUUAUUUCAGAAUGGAAGCAUAAAACAUAGUAAUGAUCAUACAUAGACAUUUUACCUGUUUGUUAGUUGUGGGAUUUUCUCCUGGAUAUUCCUCCAGAGAAUAUGUUCUUUCACCGUUAUUUGAAAGUGGAAUCUGGGGAGUGCAGUUGCAAUGUCAACUUGCAUGUAACACUAUCUGCAAUUCAUAUUGUUGCGAACGAAAAAAAUGGUCUACCUCUUUCACAACCUCUUUAUUGUUAGUUGUACAGGAUGCCCUGAGGUAAUUCUUGUAAUUCCCUCUGCAGUUUAAAGUAUUCUGCAAUGAACAAGAAGGUCCUUGCGUUUAAAAUUAAGACUUAUUCUAUAAUCACUGCUGUUGUUGAUAAUAAAAUAAAUGUGAAAGGUCAAAUACCUCUUUCUUGUUUGCUAGCCGUCUGUAUUUGGUUGCCUUUGAAGGUUGGCUCGACUCAUCCAGCAGAUAUUCUUUGUAAUGUCUUUUGGGUGCCAUGUCUGCGGGCGGUUUUACAGUUUUUCUCUAAGCCCGGUAAAAUACAUCCAUGGUGAUUUACUUUACCUUAUUACUGAUACGUGCGCAUGCGUGCGCACGUAUUCGUGGCGCUGUGCUGCCGCUGAUUGGUUACCCCCGAAUGCAAUCUGCUUGCAGAUGUAGAUGCUGAUUGCUGAGGGAACCGUUGUCGCAGUUGAGUUACUUACAAUGGCGCAGUUCAAGUUCGGGAUGUUUUAUUUGAAGGACAACACAAUUCACGUCAAAAGUACUGAGAUUGUGGCACCUCAGUACAGACAGAAGCUCGUUCAGAUAUUAAAACGGCCGGACCUCUACAGUGAAGACGGAUGGAUACAAGUGUGAUGGGGAACCAGGAAAGCAUCUACAAACAAUGUGGCCGCAAAACUGCUCUUAAUCGGGGACAACUACAAGGAGUUGAUGGGGAAAAAAGAAGCCUUCCUCAAGGAUGAGGACAUCUGGCACAUGGCAGUUGCAAGAAGGACCACACCUUGUACCACAACACAUGAUGGAAGCAAACCAAAGAAGCCGAAGAUGACAAAGGCUGCAAGAGACCGAGCCCUUGCCCAACUGAAAUCCUCGCUGCUGAGAAGAAAGCAAACAACCUCCACCCCCUUGACAAAUGAAGACGAUACAGACAUAGACACCAAUGUGGACUUAUUUGACCCACCUCAGGCUUCGGGAUCAAGUGACCUCUCCCAAGGGGAAAGUGAAGAGGAGAGUGUCCUGAUGGAUCAGCCCAGAUCCAGUGUUGGCAUGCAACAGGAAGUGAUGGAUGCUCUGAAAGAAAUACCAGCCUUAGUCAAGUGUGUCAAAGAUCUUAUUGCAACCAUGAAGAGAAUGCCACCUGUCAUGGACACUGACAGUACAUGUUCUGGCUCUUCCAGUCCAGCUCCAGAAAUGAUUUCCCUUGGCAACAAGGGGGUGCAGGUCAGCAAAACCUGUUUCAAAAGACUCAACCGAACAAGAAUGUCCCUGUUCACACAGGACUUAGCUGUGCUCCUCUUUGGGCGGGAUGUUUUGGCAUCCUCGACUCUCACAGGAAAACCAGGGCUUACUGGAACAGUGAAAGAGCAGUUAAAUCCGGAAAAGCUGAGUGCCCUUGUUGAUACAGUUAUUGCUGAAUUUCCAGGAACAAAUGUGUCUGAUGUGAGGGCAGUGAUUCAGAGAAAAUGUAACAAUGAGAAUUUUGUGAGCAAAAAGAAACAGUAAGCAGUAAAUCAGUAACUGUUUGUAAUAAUUUCUUGUUUGUUUUUUCUUUGGUGGACAUACAUUUUGAGUUUAAACAAACUGUGUAAAAGUUUAAACAAUCUGUCCACCUAUGUAAAAGUUUCAACAGUCUGUUUAAUGUUUAAUGUUUUUUAAUGUUUUCAAAAGUCAGUUUCAGUUUAAUGUUCAUCCCUGUCAUUACUAGCAAUGGUACGAUGAAGAGAAACAGUUUGAAAAUGUUGUUAAAGAUGUAUUUUGUACCCUGUCAUGCCGUGCAUGUUAAAAAUAAAC